GAAGUUACAGAGCAGGGGGAAGAGUAAGUCAGCAAAAUGCUGUGAGUGCAUUGAGUUGGCUGUAUAAAGGAUCAGAAAUUCCCAAAUCUUCUUCCUUAAUUUCUCUCCAUUUUUCUAUAAUCUUCUCUCUCUCUCUCUGCCCCUUCUUCUUUUCUCUCUCACCUGCCCUUGCUUACUUACUCAACUACCAAACAGCCUUCGACUCUUGCUUUCUGUUGCUCCUGAGCUAAAAUGACCAUGGCACAC
rnacentral:misc_RNA from 1 species